rnacentral:rRNA from 1 species
GAUGAACGCUGGCGGCGUGCUUAACACAUGCAAGUCGAACGAUGAAGCCCAGCUUGCUGGGUGGAUUAGUGGCGAACGGGUGAGUAACACGUGAGUAACCUGCCCUUAACUCUGGGAUAAGCCUGGGAAACUGGGUCUAAUACCGGAUAGGAGCGCCUACCGCAUGGUGGGUGUUGGAAAGAUUUAUCGGUUUUGGAUGGACUCGCGGCCUAUCAGCUUGUUGGUGAGGUAAUGGCUCACCAAGGCGACGACGGGUAGCCGGCCUGAGAGGGUGACCGGCCACACUGGGACUGAGACACGGCCCAGACUCCUACGGGAGGCAGCAGUGGGGAAUAUUGCACAAGGGGCGAAAGCCUGAUGCAGCGACGCCGCGUGAGGGAUGACGGCCUUCGGGUUGUAAACCUCUUUCAGUAGGGAAGAAGCGAAAGUGACGGUACCUGCAGAAGAAGCACCGGCUAACUACGUG